ensembl:lncRNA
ACUAAAAGCCCCUGUUACCAGAAUUGUACUACAAGCAAAUUUCCUUUUCCUCUGACCUGUUUAAAAGCAGACCCUCUCUCCAUUUAGCACCAAUACUGAUGAAACUUACUGGAUGUCAGGGCACGGCCUCUCUCCCCCAUUUCAUUUAGUAUGGAUACUUAUCACAGACAGAAUAGCUCAUGUAGAAAAGAGCACCCUUUCAUUCUUGUUCCAGUUUUCCUCAUUUGGUCUUCCUUUAAUCCUACAGACAAUAGGAAUCGCAUACAGAGAACAAAAGAGAUUCCAAAGAGCAGGAUGAAUUUGCCAUAAAUGGGCAAAUUGAUAUGAACAAAAUCCUAGUGGGGAUUCCUUUAGCUGUGUGUCAUCUUAGUUUUUAUGGGAAUUAGCAUAACUUAGUGGAUUAGGUUCAGGUUGACUGACAGUCAUUGUGCCUGUGCUUGAAUAUCUCUGACAGAUCAUCAUCGUGGAGCAUGAUAUAAUGGAAAGAACCCGUCACCUGAGAGUCAGAAGGCCUUUGUUCCAUCCUGGAGCUGACAUAAACUUUCUAAGAAAACUUAAGGAGUUACUUUACCUCCCUAUGCCUCAGACCCUCUGGCACAUUCUUCCCUGGAUAGCGACUUUCUCAUUGAUCAUGCCCAGGGUGGACUCACUGUGGUUCUGCUUUCUGCAAGAUGGCUCCAGAGCCAGACAAAGGCAAAUUAGAGAAUAUUCUGAACCAAGGCUAGAAAUCUUUUACUGCCCUCCAUACUGA